GAUGAACGCUGGCGGCGUGCCUAAUACAUGCAAGUCGAGCGAACAGAUGAGGAGCUUGCUCCUCUGACGUUAGCGGCGGACGGGUGAGUAACACGUGGAUAACCUACCUAUAAGACUGGGAUAACUUCGGGAAACCGGAGCUAAUACCGGAUAAUAUAUUGAACCGCAUGGUUCAAUAGUGAAAGACGGUUUUGCUGUCACUUAUAGAUGGAUCCGCGCCGCAUUAGCUAGUUGGUAAGGUAACGGCUUACCAAGGCAACGAUGCGUAGCCGACCUGAGAGGGGGAUCGGCCACACUGGAACUGAGACGCGGUCCAGACUCCUACGGGAGGCAGCAGUAGGGAAUCUUCCGCAAUGGGCGAGAGCAUGACGGAGCAACGCCGCGUGAGUGAUGAAGGUCUUCGGAUCGUAAAACUCUGUUAUUAGGGAAGAACAAAUGUGUAAGUAACUAUGCACGUCUUGACGGUACCUAAUCAGAAAGCCACGGCUAACUACGUG
rnacentral:rRNA from 1 species